rnacentral:misc_RNA from 1 species
AACGCACAUUGCACCUCUUGGUAUUCCUUGAGGUAUGCCUGUUCGAGCGCCGUUUAACAUCUUAAAGCUUUGCUUUGUGUUGAGAUUUUAUUAGUCAAUAAUAAAAUCUUCAAAUAAAUUUGCCUUUUUUCCGAAAGUAAAAACAGUGAAAGUGUUGAUAUUCUCGAAAAAAUUAGGCAUGUCAAACGAUCGCAUGGCCUCGGAUCAGGUAGGGCUACCCGCUGAACUUAA